rnacentral:rRNA from 1 species
UACGAGGGGUCCUAGCGUUGUUCGGAAUCAUUGGGCGUAAAGGGUGUGUAGGUGGCUAUGUAAGUCAGGUGUGAAAGCCCCGGGCUCAACCCGGGAAGUGCAUCUGAUACUGCGUAGCUUGAGUACCGAAGAGGAUAGUGGAAUUCCAGGUGUAGUGGUGAAAUACGUAGAUAUCUGGAGGAACAUCGGUGGCGAAGGCGGCUAUCUGGUCGAGUACUGACACUGAGACACGAAAGCAUGGGGAUCAAACAGG